rnacentral:rRNA from 1 species
UGGGGAAUAUUGGACAAUGGGCGAAAGCCUGAUCCAGCCAUGCCGCGUGAGUGACGAAGGCCUUAGGGUUGUAAAACUCUUUCGUCGGGGACGAUAAUGACGGUACCCGAAGAAGAAGCUCCGGCUAACUUCGUGCCAGCAGCCGCGGUAAUACGAAGGGAGCUAGCGUUGUUCGGAAUCACUGGGCGUAAAGCGCACGUAGGCGGAUUUGUAAGUCAGGGGUGAAAUCCCGGGGCUCAACCUCGGAACUGCCUUUGAUACUGCAAGUCUCGAGUCCGGAAGAGGUGAGUGGAAUUCCUAGUGUAGAGGUGAAAUUCGUAGAUAUUAGGAAGAACACCAGUGGCGAAGGCGGCUCACUGGUCCGGUACUGACGCUGAGGUGCGAAAGCGUGGGGAGCAAACAGGAUUAGAUACCCUUGUAGUCCCUGAGCGGGCUGGCAAGGCG